rnacentral:tRNA from 1 species
GGGCCUGUAGCUCAGUUGGUAGAGCAUCGCGUUUACACCGCGGUUGUCGUCGGUUCGAGCCCGGCCGGGCCCACCA